rnacentral:rRNA from 1 species
UACAGAGGUCCCAAGCGUUGUUCGGAUUCACUGGGCGUAAAGGGUGCGUAGGUGGUCGGGUAAGUCUGAUGUGAAAUCUCCGAGCUUAACUCGGAAAUGGCAUUGGAUACUAUUCGGCUAGAGGGUUUGAGGGGGGACUGGAAUACUUGGUGUAGCAGUGAAAUGCGUAGAUAUCAAGUGGAGCACCAGUGGCGAAGGCGAGUCCCUGGAAAACUCCUGACACUGAGGCACGAAAGCUAGGGGAGCAAACAGG